GGGGGCGACUGGCUUCGACGUAUGUCGCGAAACCAUCGGAGCAUGCCGAGGUGCAGAGUUCCUCGCAAAUCCAACUGCAAAUUGAUAGUUGCCAACGACGACAACUACGCACUAGCGGCUUAAGCCCGCUAGCCUCUCGGCUCUGUUUGCUCAUGGGUGGGGAUUUCGAGGGGUCAAAUUACAUGAGAUCGCAACGCAUUUUGUCUGCGCAAUGCAUUGUUAAAACCUUAGUGGACUCGCUGGUUACAUCCCUGUCUGUCGGGAAGUAAACAGCUAAAUUAAAGAUAGACUAAGCAUGUAGGGCCGAUGCGCGGAGGGCUUGCGGACGCGGGUUCAAUUCCCGCCGCCUCCACCA
rnacentral:tmRNA from 1 species